CCUACGGGAGGCAGCAGUGAGGAAUAUUGGUCAAUGGACGAGAGUCUGAACCAGCCAAGUAGCGUGAAGGAUGACUGCCCUAUGGGUUGUAAACUUCUUUUAUAUGGGAAUAAAAUGUUCCACGUGUGGGAUUUUGUAUGUACCAUAUGAAUAAGGAUCGGCUAACUCCGUGCCAGCAGCCGCGGUAAUACGGAGGAUGCGAGCGUUAUCCGGAUUUAUUGGGUUUAAAGGGAGCGUAGGUGGAUUGUUAAGUCAGUUGUGAAAGUUUGCGGCUCAACCGUAAAAUUGCAGUUGAUACUGGCAGUCGUGAGUACAGUAGAGGUGGGCGGAAUUCGUGGUGUAGCGGUGAAAUGCUUAGAUAUCACGAAGAACUCCGAUUGCGAAGGCAGCUCACUGGACUGCAACUGACACUGAGGCUCGAAAGUGUGGGUAUCAAACAGGAUUAGAUACCCCAGUAGUC
rnacentral:rRNA from 1 species